GAUGAACGCUGGCGGCGUGCUUAACACAUGCAAGUCGAACGGAAAGGCCCCUGCUUGCAGGGGUACUCGAGUGGCGAACGGGUGAGUAACACGUGGGUGAUCUGCCCUGCACUUCGGGAUAAGCCUGGGAAACUGGGUCUAAUACCGGAUAGGACCACAUUUUGGAUGGUGUGGUGGAAAGUUUUUCGGUGUGGGAUGAGCUCGCGGCCUAUCAGCUUGUUGGUGGGGUAAUGGCCUACCAAGGCGUCGACGGGUAGCCGGCCUGAGAGGGUGUACGGCCACAUUGGGACAGAGAGACGGCCCAGACUCCUACGGGGGGCAGCAGUGGGGGAUAUUGCACAAUGGGCGCAAGCCUGAGGCAGCGACGCCGCGUGGGGGAUGACGGCCUUCGGGUUGUAAACUCCUUUCGCUAGGGACGAAGCGUUUUUGUGACGGUACCUGGAGAAGAAGCACCGGCUAACUACGUG
rnacentral:rRNA from 1 species